rnacentral:rRNA from 1 species
GUAGGGAGUUUUCGGCAAUGGGGGAAACCCUGACCGAGCAACGCCGCGUGAGUGAUGAAGGUCUUCGGAUUGUAAAGCUCUGUUACAGGGGACGAAUGGUCAGCCUAGGAAAUGAGGUUGGCUCGACGGUACCCUGCCAGAAAGUGACGGCUAACUACGUGCCAGCAGCCGCGGUAAUACGUAGGUCACGAGCGUUAUCCGGAAUUAUUGGGCGUAAAGAGUGAGCAGGCGGUGAAGUAAGUCUGGAGUGAAAGCGUGGGGCUUAACCCCAUACAGCUUUGUAAACUACUUCGCUAGAGUACGUCAGAGGUUAACAGAACUCCGUGUGUAGCGGUGAAAUGCGUAGAUAUACGGAAGAAUACCAGUGGCAAAGGCGGUUAACCAGGACGAUACUGACGCUCAGUCACGAAAGCGUGGGGAGCAAAUAGGAUUAGAAACCCUGGUAGUCC